rnacentral:lncRNA from 1 species
AAUCAACAAAUAUAAACAACCUAGUUCCUAUACCAAAAGCUCCAAGGUAGUCGAGAAGGAUUUAUAAACCGUCAAAGUUGAAUGGUUUGAACUUUAUGACUAUGUCAUAGAGUUGCACCUUUUAAUUCGAAAGAAAUAAGAAUGAAAAUCCUUAUGACUACAUUGAGUGUAUAUAUGAUAUAUACUCAAGGAAAUGGUAAAGUACCAUUUGACCCGAAAUAAUGAAACCCCCAUAGCUAAUUGGUAGCUUAAGGUGACUGCAAUCAAAGAGAAUGGUUGACUUUGAAGAAACCAUCUUUGACGUAGUCUUGUUUUUCAAUUAAUUCGAAGAUAGCUAGCUACAACUAAAUGGUGAUUCAAUGUUUGGACAUUAUAUGGGUUUCCGAAACCAUUAUUAAGAUAGUCUUGAUAAUAUAUAUGUCUAAAACUAUGAAUCACAAGACAUAUAAGUUGUAGAGAUCCAACCAUCAUGAAUCUUAGCAAGCUAGUGGGAGCUAUAAGCAUCUUAUGAGAAAAGGAUCAAAUCGUUUGAUUUCUC